rnacentral:rRNA from 1 species
UACAGAGACCCCGAGCAUUAUCCGGAUUUAUUGGGCGUAAAGCGUUCGUAGGCGGUUUUAUAAGUCAUUCGUUAAAUCUUCAGGCUCAACUUGGAGGCAGCGGCUGAUACUGUAAGACUUGAGUAUGGGAGAGGCAGAUGGAAUGCCCGGUGUAGCGGUAAAAUGCGUUAAUAUCGGGUAGAACACCAAAGGCGAAAGCAAUCUGCUGGAACAUUACUGACGCUCAGUGAACGAAAGCGUGGGGAGCGAAAGGG